GUUUACAAAGCGCCUUGAUUAUCUCAUUUGAGUCCUCAGAAGAACUCAGGUUUUAUUCCCAUUUUUCAGUUGAGAAGUCAAGCUCAUAGUAGUAAAUUAAUUGCCUCAAAUUAUGUAGCUAAUAAGUGCCAGAGCUUGGCACUUCAGUUAACUCCUUCGAUCUUAAAAUUGAUUGUGAAAGCCACUUCAUUCUUAAGGUUUGCAAAAGCAAUACUUGCUUUGGGAAUAGACUUCUUUUAUGUUCUUGCUUUAUCCAUUGCCAGCUUUCAGCACAACAUCUAAAAUACACUCAUUAUAGUCGACAUGGGCUCCUUGCAAAAAAAAAAGAAAAAGAACAACAACAGCAAAAAAACUUGGAGCCUGAGACUUUACAAACUGGGUGUAGAAAUGCUGCCACCUUUGUUUGGCUGCCAAGACACUACCACAAAGGAUCGUAGAUCCAGGUUCAUUUAUUUCACAAGAGUGGGUGCAGCUGUCUUCUGGCCAUAAUCAAAUGUUCUUCUGCAGCCAGCUUUUUGUGGCCAGAAAAAGCAAAGUAAUUUUUAGUACAGAUUAGCAUAAAAAUAUCUACUAGAUCAGUUUCAGGAAACAAUUACUAACUUAGAAACAACAAUAAGUGUGAUCUAUAGGUUGGUGAAAAUGGCAGUAAAUUUCCAGACCUUUUUAAAUGCCCCUUAUUUCUCGCCAUGAAUACUAUAUAAAUAUAAUACACUACCUGCCACUGUAUUUGGUCCCAUAAAUUAUUUGGACAGUGGACAAUAGACUUCAAAACUAAGUAGAGGUAGUAAAUCUGCCUCCUUUUAAUGAGUUUAAAUUUACAGUAGUAGUUUAAACAUCUGGAAGUUUAAUGUCUUAAUUCAUUCCAAAUGUUCGACAAGGAUAUACUGCAAAAGAGGAUAUUGUAAUUGGGGAUCAAGAAAACUACUGUAGACUCAAUCUAAGACCUUUCUACUUUUCUCUGUAUACAUUAAUCACAUAAAACUUGAGAGGCUGACAGUUCAGAGAGGAGAUGAACCAAAAUAUCCAAGUUGGCAUGCUUAUAUGAAUAACUUUUUAGAGUAUCGUUACAAGAAAGGUGAAGUUUAAAUUGUUAAUUAGCACAAGUAGAAUGUAACUAGAUGGUGCUGCCUUUUUUUUUUUUGUAAUCUAUGCUUAUAAGGAGGAGGUUUUAGAAAUUUAUUAUUAAAACUGGAC
rnacentral:lncRNA from 1 species